rnacentral:tRNA from 1 species
UGGAGAGAUGUCCGAGCGGUCGAAGGAGGCAGUCUUGAAAACUGUUGGGGCGCAAGUCUCCGGGGGUUCGAAUCCCUCUCUCUCCGA